rnacentral:rRNA from 1 species
GGGACAACAGUUGGAAACGACUGCUAAUACCGCAUAAGCCCACGGCUCGGCAUCGAGCAGAGGGAAAAGGAGUGAUCCGCUUUGAGAUGGCCUCGCGUCCGAUUAGCUAGUUGGUGAGGUAACGGCCCACCAAGGCGACGAUCGGUAGCCGGACUGAGAGGUUGAACGGCCACAUUGGGACUGAGACACGGCCCAGACUCCUACGGGAGGCAGCAGUGGGGAAUAUUGCACAAUGGGGGAAACCCUGAUGCAGCGACGCCGCGUGGAGGAAGAAGGUCUUCGGAUUGUAAACUCCUGUUGUUGAGGAAGAUAAUGACGGUACUCAACAAGGAAGUGACGGCUAACUACGUGCCAGCAGCCGCGGUAAAACGUAGGUCACAAGCGUUGUCCGGAAUUACUGGGUGUAAAGGGAGCGCAGGCGGGAGAACAAGUUGGAAGUGAAAUCCAUGGGCUCAACCCAUGAACUGCUUUCAAAACUGUUUUUCUUGAGUAGUGCAGAGGUAGGCGGAAUUCCCGGUGUAGCGGUGGAAUGCGUAGAUAUCGGGAGGAACACCAGUGGCGAAGGCGGCCUACUGGGCACCAACUGACGCUGAGGCUCGAAAGUGUGGGUAGCAAACAGGAUUAGAUACCCUGGUAGUCCACACCGUAA